rnacentral:rRNA from 1 species
CUACGGGAUGCUGCAGUAGGGAAUCUUAGACAAUGGGGGAAACCCUGAUCUAGCCAUGCCGCGUGAGUGAUGAAGGCCUUAGGGUUGUAAAGCUCUUUCGCUGGGGAAGAUAAUGACGGUACCCAGUAAAGAAACCCCGGCUAACUCCGUGCCAGCAGCCGCGGUAAUACGGAGGGGGUUAGCGUUGUUCGGAAUUACUGGGCGUAAAGCGCGCGUAGGCGGGCUAUUAAGUCAGGGGUGAAAUCCCGGGGCUCAACCCCGGAACUGCCUUUGAUACUGGUAGUCUUGAGUUCGAGAGAGGUGAGUGGAAUUCCGAGUGUAGAGGUGAAAUUCGUAGAUAUUCGGAGGAACAUCAGUGGCGAAGGCGACUCACUGGCUCGAUACUGACGCUGAGGUGCGAAAGUGUGGGGAGCAAACAGGAUUAGAUACCCGAGUAGUC